GACGAACGCUGGCGGCGUGCCUAAUACAUGCAAGUCGAGCGGACGGAUGGGAGCUUGCUCCCAGACCGUCAGCGGCGGACGGGUGAGUAACACGUGGGCAACCUGCCUGUAAGACUGGGAUAACUCCGGGAAACCGGGGCUAAUACCGGAUAACUCUUUCCCUCACAUGAGGGAAAGCUGAAAGAUGGCAUCUCGCUAUCACUUACAGAUGGGCCCGCGGCGCAUUAGCUAGUUGGUGAGGUAACGGCUCACCAAGGCGACGAUGCGUAGCCGACCUGAGAGGGUGAUCGGCCACACUGGGACUGAGACACGGCCCAGACUCCUACGGGAGGCAGCAGUAGGGAAUCUUCCGCAAUGGACGAAAGUCUGACGGAGCAACGCCGCGUGAGUGAUGAAGGUUUUCGGAUCGUAAAACUCUGUUGUCAGGGAAGAACAAGUAUCGGAGUAACGGCCGGUACCUUGACGGUACCUGACCAGAAAGCCACGGCUAACUACGU
rnacentral:rRNA from 1 species